UACGUAGGGCGCAAGCGUUGUCCGGAAUUAUUGGGCGUAAAGAGCUCGUAGGCGGUUUGUCGCGUCUGUCGUGAAAGCUUGGGGCUUAACCCCAAGUCUGCGGUGGAUACGGGCAGACGUAGAGGCAGGUAGGGGAGAACGGAAUUCCCGGUGUAGCGGUGAAAUGCGCAGAUAUCAGGAGGAACACCGGUGGCGAAGGCGGGUCUCUGGGCAACUACUGACGCUGAGGAGCGAAAGCGUGGGGAGCGUACAGG
rnacentral:rRNA from 1 species